GACGAACGCUGGCGGCACGCUUAACACAUGCAAGUCGAACGAGAGAAGAGAAGCUUGCUUCUCUGAUCUAGUGGCGGACGGGUGAGUAACACGUGAGCAAUCUGCCUUUCAGAGGGGGAUACCGAUUGGAAACGAUCGUUAAUACCGCAUAACAUAAUUGAACCGCAUGAUUUGAUUAUCAAAGAUUUAUCGCUGAAAGAUGAGCUCGCGUCUGAUUAGCUAGUUGGUAAGGUAACGGCUUACCAAGGCGACGAUCAGUAGCCGGACUGAGAGGUUGAUCGGCCACAUUGGGACUGAGACACGGCCCAGACUCCUACGGGAGGCAGCAGUGGGGAAUAUUGCACAAUGGAGGAAACUCUGAUGCAGCGAUGCCGCGUGAGGGAAGAAGGUUUUAGGAUUGUAAACCUCUGUCUUCAGGGACGAAAAAAGACGGUACCUGAGGAGGAAGCUCCGGCUAACUACGUG
rnacentral:rRNA from 1 species